GAUCAUGGCUCAGGAUGAACGCUAGCUACAGGCUUAACACAUGCAAGUCGAGGGGCAGCAUGGUCUUAGCUUGCUAAGGCUGAUGGCGACCGGCGCACGGGUGAGUAACGCGUAUGCAACUUGCCUAUCAGAGGAGAAUAGCUCAUCGAAAGAUGAAUUAAUGCUCCAUAAAACAGGGGUUCCGCAUGGGAAUAUUUGUUAAAGAUUCAUCGCUGAUAG
rnacentral:rRNA from 1 species